AACGAGGUACAGUUCUGUUUAUGUGUGGCAUUUUCAGUAAAGAAGUCCUGAGUAAACACGUUGUCGUUGAAUACCGCUUCUCUGCCGAACCUUAUAUUAGUGCCUCAUGCAGUAAUGUCUCAGUUUUAUCUCAGUGAAUGCCCACGGGCUAAGAAAACAUUCAAAGGAAUUUUGCAAAUGGCAAAGAUUAAAGGUCAAGUUAAGUGGUUCAACGAGUCUAAAGGUUUUGGUUUCAUUACUCCUGCUGACGGCAGCAAAGAUGUGUUCGUACACUUCUCUGCAAUCCAGGGUAACGGCUUCAAAACUCUGGCUGAAGGCCAGAACGUUGAGUUCGAAAUUCAGGACGGCCAGAAAGGUCCGGCUGCUGUUAACGUAACCGCUAUCUGAUCGAACCCCUGCCUUGUCUGAAGCGUUUCGACGUUUCAGUUGCAGAGAUAAAGCCUCGCUUGUGCGGGGCUUUUUAAU
rnacentral:sRNA from 1 species